UUAGAAAGGUAAUGGGAGACAGAAUUGAGCACUGUGUUCAGCUCUGUUUGUAACUGAUAUAUCUGGUUCUGACACUGAGUGCAACGCAAGUAGGGGAUGGAAACAGCGGUCCCACCACCACAAUGCAGAUCUGAGCUCAGGGGUGCUGAGCUCAAGGAGACAGUGUGACAUCGGCACAGCUGGCGGUGGCACUUCAUCGUCUGUGAUCUGGACUCACAGCUGCAUGUGUGGGUCUCCCAUUUGGGAUGUGGCAGCAAUGGGGGCUGCGUGGGCUCACCUGAGCUGCCUGUCCCGGCACACAGCCACCAUCACCAACAGGUUCCCCAGGAUGGCCAUCAGGAUAACCGCAGAGAUGAAGUACAUCACAGCAGUGAGAAGGGGUAACUGCUCACGGCAUCACGUGGGGCUGGAAGUAAGAUGGCAUUAAGAGCAGGACUCAACACUGAUUCAGCAGGGAGAUUUCUUCAUUGAGUACAGAGCUGGCAUUUGCUACCUGGGAUUAAUGCAGUGAGAUUGCUCAGGUCACAGCUCAACUUCCCCACAACUGUAGAGGGAUAAAAUGACCAAUGAACAGCAGAGAGCACCUUGGGC